rnacentral:rRNA from 1 species
GAUGAACGCUGGCGGCGUGCCUAAUACAUGCAAGUCGAACGCACUCUCGUUAACGAUUUCAGUACUUUGUACUGAAUGAUUUUUCAUAAGAAUGAGUGGCGAAUGGGUGAGUAACACGUGGGGAACCUGCCUUUAAGUAUGGGAUAGCACUUGGAAACAGAUGAUAAUACCGUAUAACAACUGAAACCACAUGGUUUCAGUUUGAAAGAUGUGUUUGCAUCGCUUUUAGAUGGACCCGCGGCGUAUUAGUUCGUUGGUGAGAUAAAGGCCCACCAAGAAUAUGAUACGUAGCCGACCUGAGAGGGUAAUCGGCCAAAUUGGAACUGAGACACGGUCCAGACUCCUACGGGAGGCAGCAGUAGGGAAUCUUUCACAAUGAACGAAAGUUUGAUGAAGCAACGCCGCGUGAAUGAAGAAGGGUUUCGGCUCGUAAAAUUCUGUUGUUAGAGAAGAACGUAUCUAGUAGGAAAUGGCUAGAUAGUGACGGUAUCUGAUUAGAAAGUCACGGCUAACUACGUGCCAGCCGCCGCAGUAACAC